CCUCAGGAUAAAGAAACGGGCUUCCACAGAGGCUUCUGCUGGAUCGGCUUCUCCUCCGAGGAAGGACUCAACAACGCUCUGCAGAAGGACCCGCACGUGCUCGAGGGCGCCAAGCUGCAGGUUCAGAGGAACAGACGCCCGUUCGCAGGACAGAAGUCGGACAAAGACGCCGAGUACGACUGAUGCUCCGAGGAUGCGCUGCUCUUCUUCUCUCCGUGCUCCGGCUGCCUGCUUGGGCCGGCUUCACACUUCCCGUUUGAUCGUUGUCACUGAAUUGGUGACCGAGCCGUCAGUCAUCUUGUUAUUUAUUGUCAGCCGCCGUGCUGGACUUCCUGUUGCAAUGUGAAACCGUUCAUGCCGAGCUGUACAGAAAAAAGCCAAUAAAGACCAAACUAAACUCCA